UACAGAGGGGGCAAGCGUUGUCCGGAAUCAUUGGGCGUAAAGAGCGCGUAGGCGGCCCUGUAAGUCCGCUGUGAAAGUCAAGGGCUCAACCCUUGAAUGCCGGUGGAUACUGCAGGGCUAGAGUCCGGAAGAGGCGAGUGGAAUUCCUGGUGUAGCGGUGAAAUGCGCAGAUAUCAUGAGGAAGACCAGUGGCGAAGGCGGGUCUCUGGACAGUUCCUGACACUGAGACACGAAGGCCAGGGGAGCAAACGGG
rnacentral:rRNA from 1 species